GGGGCUAUAGCUCAGUUGGUAGAGCACUUCCAUGGCAUGGAAGGGGUCAGGGGUUCAAUUCCCCUUAGCUCCACGA
rnacentral:tRNA from 1 species